CAGGCCCUUAUUUGCAGAACUGCUGCUUAGGCAGUCGGUCCCCAGCCGGCAUGGCAUUCUUCCUUCCUAAGUGCAGGACUCUGCACUUGUUCUUGUUGAACCUCAUCAGAUUUCUUUUGGCCCAAUCCUCCAAUUUGUCUAGGUUACUCUGGACCCUAUCCCUACCCUCCAGCA